rnacentral:rRNA from 1 species
GAGUGGCGGACGGGUGAGUAAUGUCUGGGAAACUGCCUGAUGGAGGGGGAUAACUACUGGAAACGGUAGCUAAUACCGCAUAACGUCGCAAGACCAAAGAGGGGGACCUUCGGGCCUCUUGCCAUCGGAUGUGCCCAGAUGGGAUUAGCUAGUAGGUGGGGUAACGGCUCACCUAGGCGACGAUCCCUAGCUGGUCUGAGAGGAUGACCAGCCACACUGGAACUGAGACACGGUCCAGACUCCUACGGGAGGCAGCAGUGGGGAAUAUUGCACAAUGGGCGCAAGCCUGAUGCAGCCAUGCCGCGUGUAUGAAGAAGGCCUUCGGGUUGUAAAGUACUUUCAGCGGGGAGGAAGGGAGUAAAGUUA